rnacentral:tRNA from 1 species
UCUGGUAGAGCACCUCAUUUGCAAUGAGGGGGUGGCAGGUUCGAGUCCUGUACGGUCCA